ACGCUGGCGGCACGCCUAACACAUGCAAGUCGAACGAAGUAGCAAUACUUAGUGGCAGACGGGUGAGUAACAUGUAGGUAUCUGCCCUUUGGCCUGGAAUAACACGAGGAAACUUGUGCUAAUACCGGAUAAGUCUUUACGGAGAAAGCUUUAUGCACCAUUGGAUGAGCCUGCACUUGAUUAGUUUGUUGGUGGGGUAAUGGCCUACCAAGACUGUGAUCAAUAGCUGAUUUGAGAGGAUGAUCAGCCACAUUGGGACUGAGACACGGCCCAAACUCCUACGGGAGGCAGCAGUGGGGAAUCUUGCACAAUGGAGGAAACUCUGAUGCAGCGAUGCCGCGUGAGUGAAGAAGGCCCUUGGGUUGUAAAGCUCUUUCGUCGGGGAAGAAAAUGACUGUACCCGAAUAAGAAGGUCCGGCUAACUUCGUGCCAGCAGCCGCGGUAAUACGAAGGGACCUAGCGUAGUUCGGAGUUACUGGGCUUAAAGAGUUCGUAGGUGGUUGAAAAAGUUAGUGGUGAAAUCCCAGAGCUUAACUCUGGAACUGCCAUUAAAACUUUUCAGCUAGAGUAUGAUAGAGGAAAGCAGAAUUUCUAGUGUAGAGGUGAAAUUCGUAGAUAUUAGAAAGAAUACCAAUUGCGAAGGCAGCUUUCUGGAUCAUUACUGACACUGAGGAACGAAAGCAUGGGUAGCGAAGAGGAUUAGAUACCCUCGUAGUCCAUGCCGUAAACGAUGUGUGUUAGACGUUGGAAAUUUAUUUUCAGUGUCGCAGCGAAAGCGAUAAACACACCGCCUGGGGAGUACGACCGCAAGGUUAAAACUCAAAUGAAUUGACGGGGACCCGCACAAGUAGUGGAGCAUGUGGUUUAAUUCGAAGAUACGCGCAGAACCUUACCAACACUUGACAUGUUCGUCGCGACUUUAAGAGAUUAAAGUUUUCGGUUCGGCCGGACGAAACACAGGUGCUGCAUGGCUGUCGUCAGCUCGUGUCGUGAGAUGUUGGGUUAAGUCCCGCAACGAGCGCAACCCUCACUUUUAGUUGCCAUCAUUAAGUUGGGCACUCUGAAAGAACUGCCAGUGAUAAGCUGGAGGAAGGUGGGGAUGACGUCAAGUCCUCAUGGCCCUUACGUGUUGGGCUACACACGUGCUACAAUGGUAUCUACAACAGGAAGCAAAACGGCGACGUUAAGCAAAUCCUUAAAAGAUACCUCAGUUCGGAUUGCACUCUGCAACUCGAGUGCAUGAAGCUGGAAUUACUAGUAAUCGUGGAUCAGCGUGCCACGGUGAAUGCGUUCCCGGGUCUUGUACACACCGCCCGUCACACCAUGGGAGUUGGUUCUACCUUAAGGCAAGGUUUCAAACCCUUGACCACGGUAUAGUCAGCGACUGGGGUGA
rnacentral:rRNA from 1 species